rnacentral:lncRNA from 1 species
CCAGGUGUCUUCAUGCAAACGGGAAGAUGCUGGGGCAUGGCCUGAAGCGCCGGGCAGAGGCAGUGUUCAAAUUGGGCAGCGCUUUUGGGGUACUUUAAGAUCCUUGCGCGGAUAUUCCACUCCGCCGAGGUGAUGUGGGAUGUCGGCGGGGCUUCCGAGUCUUUAAAUAUUCCCCAGGUGUUUGCAAUCAGCAGUCAGGCUGCAGACUCCCUACGUGGAUGGCAUGCCCCAGAAACAGAACCAUAUGUAUUUUAUUGUAAAUUUAAGGAAUUGGGACUUGAACGUUGAAGCACAGAACCAGGAAAAAGAACUUGGUUGCUGGUUUGGCUUUUCACCAGGGUGAUGGCUGCCAGCGCGCUGGGGUCUUGUGUGGUGGGCUUGUGUUGGAGGUUCCCCUUUAGUUCCCCAGUGGGAACACAGAGGAGGGCUUCAUAUUACUGGGAGCAGACGGAGCGGUGCUUCACGGAGAAGGUGCUCCAGGCGGCGAAGGUCAAGUCCUCCUGGAGCAGCUCUUCGGAGGGGAGCUCCCCCAAUCGCAGCUGGCUCCUGGAGCGCAGUGCUGUGGCCGCCCCCAGCGCUGUGUGGGAUUCAGGGGUCCAGCAAUCCCAAGUGCCUGAGAGCCCGAGGAGGAGGAGGCUGUGUCCUGGGGCUCAUCCCGCCGCAGCAGCUCCUCCUCCUCCCAUCCGUCUGCCCCGGGAGUGGGUGGGGCCCCCUCUGAAGGAGGCCUGAUUCGGAGCUCUCCGGGUAUCUUUCGUCGAGGGGAUCCCCUCUGCGCCCUGCCAGACCUUCUCUAGAAGAACUGUCUCUCGGGGAGCAAGCCUGCAGCUUCAAGGUAAGAGGCCCCGAUGCUUUGAAAGCAGUGAAGCCCUUUCCCCUGGCUUGAGAUGUUGGAGGUCGUAUUUUGGUGAAAGGAUACUUAAGAGGUUGU